UAUCUCUCUGGUCUCCAGCCCUGUUCUUCUUCUUCUUCUGCUCUCCAGAUCAAGUUCGUGAUCUUGAGACCCGAUUGGGACCCAACAAAUUCCAGAAGCAAUUUCGCUCGCUGGGUCGACUUCGCGAUCGCAAGUAAACAACUCGAUACGCUACGGUACAGAAGAGUUUGAUC